UCUGUUCUUAAAUGUUUCAAAUCUGCAGUGAUUAAACCAUUACUUAAAAAUCUAAUAUUGACCCUAGUAUACUGAAAAACUAUAGGGCGAUAUCAAAUCUAUCAUUUUGCUCUAAAAUUGUGGAAAAAGUGGUUUCACUGCAUAGUGAGCUCGGUCACUUGGGAGGAGCUCGGAGUCGAGCCGCU